GGCUGCUGGUCUUGCAGCAUGGCCCCCUUUAUUUCCCUCAACUGAAGGACCUGAAAACAUCCCUGCACACGCUGACACGGGCAUCAUGACCCUACACAAGGAGACGGUAUAUGCUGGUAAAUGCAGCCAAUGAGGUUUUUUUUUCAAUUUUGAGGCAGUAGAAAUUUUACAGCAUGAGAAAUCCUUGAAGAACCAUUUUUUUCUACUUUAAAAUAACGUGAUAAAGCGAAGUUUCUGUAAAUUCAAGAACAUUGGCAGUAUGAGUGUCAAAAGAAAAAAGAGUGGUCUUAUCAGUUGGCAGAAGUCACUCUUCAUUCUGGCUCCUUGGAGGAAAGGCAAAGGAGCCCGAGACACAGUACUGGACAGUGCAGUUGUGUUGACAAAAAUGAAGUUAUUCAGCAACUUCAAUGAGAGGCUUUCAGAGAUGGAACACUUCUUUCCCACCCUUCCAGCAUCUUCGGAACAGAAGCUCUCAAAAAAAUCCCAAGAAUCUUUGGCGGUUUCCUAUACUGAAGACAAGUCAGGACAGCAUCAAACUUAUGCCAAUGCAGACUAUCUGCCAGACAUUUUCUCAGGCUCUCAGCUGACAAGCUUCUACAAGUUUGAAUCAGAAGACUCUGGAGUGGAUUUGUCGAGUGGUAACUUUUCAUCUACUCCAUCGGGCUCUGACCAGAACUUUGCUGUCCACAGUCGUGAAUCAUCCUGUGACUCAUCUGAUUUAAACCCCACCCCACCAACACAAUCUGAUGAGAAUAGUAAAAAAAAACAGAGCACCGACAUCUCACAGUCAGAGGUUGAGAUCAGAUCUUCAGCCUCUAGAAAUGAACCGCACAUGUGUGAGGAUCUGGAAACAGGUCAGUCUAGUAUGUCUCCAAUGAACCCUGAGAAUGAUGAGGAAAUGAUUGAAAAGCUCGAGAACAAGGACAUCUUCAAGGCUGGGAAACAGUCAUUAUCAGAAACCCAUAAAAACAAGGCAGACAAUGACAUUGAGCCUUUAAAUGGAAGUGGCACUUAUGACGGAUUUGUCAAUUACAUGGAAAAAUGCUGCGUACUCAGUGAGACACAGCAGUCAAGUUCCACUACUUUGGGGUCAGGACUUAGGUACUUGGAGCACAUCUGCCAACUCAUUGAAAAAAUUGGCCAGUUGCAGGAGGACAACCUUCGUCUUCAGAGGCAGUUCUGUUGCCUGCAGAAGGAUGGCAAGAUGACAAAGAUUAAAGAGGACUUCUUCCAACAUCAUUGCAGUUGUGGUGCAGCCACCCUUGCCCUUGAAGACAUAGAUGAUAUCUUGUCACGUAGUGGAACACUCUCUGAUCCGUCCACCAUCCAAGAGGUCUCCCAACACCUGAUCCGAACAUCCAAGAGUAAUGUGUGUUACGAGAGUUUAGAACCAAGACGUCUCAACCGAAUGAGUUACAACGAGGCUGAUGUCUUCCUCUGUGAAAGCUCCGAAGGGCUUUCCACCCCUCAUGGGCUGGGUGAUUACGACACAUGCAGCAAGGACCUGAUGAAGAGAACCAAGAGUAAACUGGGAUUAAGCACAUCCUCACUGAAGAUGUCAUGUCCACAACUCUACAGGCCUGAUCUCGGACAAAAGGAACGAGGUGACCGAAACAGGAACUCCAUGAUUGUCUUGUACAGGUCAUCGAUUAACUCAUUACCUUCGGUGUAUCGGCGCCUGCCUGUUUCCUGAGAUGAUCGACAAACUAUUGCAGACUCUCUCAGCGGUACCACAGCCCAUACUCUCUGCCUGUUCAGUCCACUGUCUGCCACCUAUCCUCGGGCCAACACUUCCAGGACUACCUCCAUGACUUUUCAUCAAUAAACUGUUCAUCAUAUCACAUCUGUCUCUGCCUGCUCUUGGAUCCAGCUCUUCUCAGUUCAUGACAGAAUACUUUGGCCAUUAUGAAUUCAGCAACCACAGAGGCAAUAAUUAUCGCACUCACCGCUAUCACACUCGAUUCCCUUAUCAAUAAACAAGAGCAGACCUUCCAGGAACUCAUGGAAUGAUUACACUCCCUCAGGCAACAGUUGUCCCUUCUUUCUUCCUAUUCGCAAACCGACCCACCUCUGGUAUGAACUUUUUCUGAGCCUGUAGCCACCGAGCCACCUCACCUUCUGUACAAAGAAUCUCAUGUCGCCCUUUCUGAGCCCUACUCCAGGGAUUUUGGUUUAUGUAGCUAGUAUUUGCUAAAAUGUUCACUCAUAUUUGACAUCGAAAGAUACAGUUAUCCCACCGAACGUUCCAAAGUAGCAUAUGUCACUAAUGUUCUCCAGGGCAAAACAGCAAACGGUCCUCUGCAUUAGGGCAUAGGUCCUCCCCAGUCCUACAUUCGUUCAACUCUUUUCUCGCUGAAAUCUGCGAGGUGUUUGAUCACCCCGUCCAGGGCAAGAAGCAAUUUGUUGUUUCCCCUCACUCUCUCAAGGCACUAAUACCAUUGCAUAUUACUCUGUCGACUUCUGUAUCCCUGCUUUCUUCUUUCCUUUCGUAAUCGUCCUUGCUAUUCAUGUAGAUACUAGUGUCUUGCUGAGCCAGGUUCAACAGAAUAACAAUGCUCUCAACAUUUUGGUGUCAACAAAAGAAAAAGUAUGCAGGUAUUGCGAAGAAAGCCCUGGAGUUUUUUUUUGGUAUACCAUUUGUUUCAACUUAUCUUUGCUAGCAAUCUUAUUCGAGAAUGCUGGACAUAAAAACAAAGAAAAGGAACAGACUUUGCUGUGAAAAUGACAUGAGAGUAGCACUUGCCAAUGUGAAGCCAUGCAUAUUUGAAAUGGUCUCUCAAACGCAACAGCAGAAGUCACACUGAUUUACAGGUAUGUAAUUUAUUGUGAGUUCAUGCACUAUAUUGGUUUUGUUCUGCAUGGUUUAUUUUGAGCACCAGUAGAAAAACUACAUGUCUUGAAUUUGGAAAAAAAAAAAAAAAAAAAAAAUCACAUUUUAUGUUACACUAAAGUAGGGUUUGGGGAAUCUGCAUUUGAAACUGGUGGGGUUCGGUAGCUCCAACAAUGUUAAGAACCACUGUAUUAGACUAUGUGAGAGGGCCCGUGAGCAGGAAGUCCACUUACAUAAAUGCUCUUACACACUAAGUACUACUUCCUCCAUCGUUUCCCACACUUUAGUCACACGCUGCUGCACCUGCCUCCUACGUUGCCCUCCUCCCUUUCGUCACACUCUGUUGCACCUGAUGAGCCCAUACAAAUUAAAAACCACGUUUGGAUCCCCAUGAGUGUCAGCGUCGUGUCACCCAGUGGCUGUGCAUUUAUUGUGGUGAACCUGAUCAUUUUAUUUCUUUAUGCCCUCUUCGACCAAAAGGCCAGGCUCACCACGUGGUGACCCAAACUUCUGUUCUUUCGAGUUCUCCCUCCUGCAUGACCGUUCCUGCUUGCCUUGUAGUUUCCACUCAAAUCCACCCCAUUACUACCCUCACUGAUUGCAGUGCUGAUGAUAAUUUCAUUCAUGAACAAUUACCGUCGUUUUUCAUAUAUAAUGCGCUCUGAAGUGUAAUACACCCCCAAAUGUUGACCUAAAAAAAUCUGGAAAAACAAUGUACGAUGUGCACCACCAAUUUGAUGCUAUCCAAAUGCUCAAAAUAUUAGGAAUUAGCUCUAUUUCUGUUUUGCUGGGUUUGUACUUUUAUUGUUUUUAUUGAUUUUUCAAAAACUGUCUGUACAACAAUCAUUAAUAAUAAUCUUUGUGCAUGUGCUGAUGUAGCGGUAAUAUAUAUCUCGGGACGGGCCACAGGACAGGCCUCGCCUGGCAAUUGUCAGAACAGAAUCCCUCAACCAUGUAAAAUAUAUACUCAAUGAUGGCAUAACAUUUUAUUAAUACUGUUGAUCACACAUAUUAGUCUUAAAUAAUUAAACACUGUUUAACUUAAAUUUUGUGGAUACACUUUUUUUUUGCAUUAAACAUCUGCGCAUAAAAUAUUUGUACUUAGUGGAGUUUAUCCACUACGUUACACAUCCUUUGAAAAGACUUCAAAGGAAGAAUCUGACUCAUCUUUAAUCUGAAAACGAUCCAUAGUAGCUACCUUUGGUGCGUUUCUGUGGAACUCAUCAUUGAUGACUGGGUCCGGUUCCUGUGCCUCCUGCAUUGCAUCAUGAGCGGUGAUCCCAUCUUCCUCCCAAAGCAUGUCAUCCUCUGUGCCAUCCAUGGCGUUUGUGAGUGACCAUUUUUUGAAUCCUAAGAGUGUUGGUUUCCUUUAUUCCUCACUAUUGUCAUCGCUUUGAGUCAAAGCUCCACUGUGCUAAUAGUGAAGUCUCCUGCCCUCUGUUCGGCUACAAUCUGUAGCAGCUCCUUCAUGGCGUCAAGUCGCUAUCAAAACGAGCAUUUUAAUUGUGUGUGACCUCGUGCUCUUUUUAAUGUGCCCAUUAUGCUAUUUUAUACAUAUUUUGUGCUCCUGUUGUUUUGAUAGUGACCUGAGGCCAACCUCCUUCUCUGGGAACUGCGUAACUCUCCCACAUCUCAAAACUCUUCCAAACAAUUUUUGAUGGAUUAUUUUUUUGUCUUCCUCCUCAAACUUACAAUCGAUUCAGCUACUUUGAACUGCUGCGCUGCUUUGCAGUCUCCCAAUUCUUCGGCAGGAGUGAUGACACUUGCGGCUGCAUAUCGAGACCUUGUAGUUUACUUUUUUAAAACUGAUCUUGGUUUAAGUUAAAACAAACUCACAGGCAACCAUUUUUGAUGUUUGGUGCAGUAGCAACAAAUAUGCUAUUUUAAUGAUUGCAAAAUGGCAAACUCCUGCGAGCAGGUCAGGAAUCUCAGGUUGGUGGUGGACAUUACCGUAAUAAAUAUAAAUGUGUUACAUAAGACAUCGAAUGUCAUUUUGAAAUGUAAAUGUAUACCUUUUUUUUUUCCAAACAAACCUGUAUAUGACAAAACAAUGUGAUUUUUAACAUUUUUUAAAUAUCUACCUAAAUAUAAUGUGCUAGAGUUUUUGAAAACAUUUUUGUAAAGUUUUGCAUAUCAUAUAUGAGAAAUUACGGUCAUACACAAACUCCAAAUCCAAAUUCCCCUCCAACCACUCCCAUUAACCGAAAAGUAUCACAGAGCUGGAUGGCAGAGACAUCGAUUUGGUACCCCACCUAAUGGUAAUUAUGCUCCUCCUUUCCUACAAUCACUGCUAACCCUAAAGGGGAUGAAUAGAAAAUACCCCUCUUGGCCAUUUAGAGUACCUCGUGAUGCCAUUUGGGUUAACCAUUGUCCCUGCCAUAUUUUAAACAUUGAUUACUGACGUCCUCCAAAACAUGCUCAACAGGUUCAUGUUUGUAUACCUUGAUGACGUCCUCAUUUUUCCUCGCUCCCCUGAAGGCUCAUCCCCUGAUCAGCCUGCCUCUUUCCCGAGAUGCCCACCAAAGUAUUGCAGACUAGGGGUACAGGGGCCCACAUACUCUGUAAG